rnacentral:rRNA from 1 species
CCUACGGGCGGCAGCAGUGGGGGAUAUUGCACAAUGGGGGAAACCCUGAUGCAGCGACGCCGCGUGGGUGAAGAAGUAUUUCGGUAGGUAAAGCCCUAUCAGCAGGGAAGAAAGAAGACGGUACCUGACUAAGAAGCCCCGGCUAACUACGUGCCAGCAGCCGCGGUAAUACGUAGGGGGCGAGCGUUAUCCGGAUUCACUGGGUGUAAAGGGAGCGUAGACGGCCGUGCAAGCCAGGAGUGAAAGCCCGGGGCCCAACCCCGGGACUGCUCUUGGAACUGUGCGGCUGGAGUGCGGGAGGGGCAGGCGGAAUUCCUGGUGUAGCGGUGAAAUGCGUAGAUAGCAGGAGGAACACCGGCGGCGAAGGCGGCCUGCUGGACCGCGACUGACGUUGAGGCUCGAAAGCGUGGGGAGCGAACAGGAUUAGAUACCCUGGUAGUC